AAGAUUAAUAGAUUGUUGCUGGCUAGGUGAUUCUAGCAUGUGCACAUCUUUAUUACCAUCUUCACACUUGUGCACCUAUUGUAGAUUCCUAGUGGAUCUAUGUUUUUAUUACACUAUAUUGUAUGUCCCAAGAAUGUUUUCUAUUAUACAACUUUCAGCAAUGGAUCUCUUGGCUCUUGCAUCGAUGAAGAACGCAGCGAAUUGCGAUAAGUAAUGUGAAUUGCAGAUUUUCAGUGAAUCAUCGAAUCUUUGAACGCACCUUGCGCUCCUUGGUAUUCCAAGGAGUAUGCCUGUUUGAGUGUCAUUUAAUUAUCAAUCUUAGGAUUGGACUUGGGAUUUGCUGGCUUUGAGUAGUCAGCUGUCCUUAAAUGUAUUAGCAAGUCAAGUCUUGACGUGCACGGCCUGUCUUCGGUGAUAAAUGAUCCGUUGGUCCGGGCUGGAAGCGUUAUUAGGAAACUUGCUUAUAAUUAUUGUGUAAUCAAAAAUUUUGACCUC
rnacentral:rRNA from 1 species